rnacentral:tRNA from 1 species
AUUUAAAUAGCUUAAUUAUAGAGUAUUAUUAUGAAGAUAUAAGGGUAAAAUUAAUUUUUUUAAAUA